AGGCUACUGCUAUUGGAAUUCGACUAAGCCAUGCGAGUCAAGGUGUCUUCGGACGCCGGCAAACGGCUCAGUAACACGUAGGUAAUCUACCCUCAGGACUGAGAUAACCCCGGGAAACUGGGGCUAAUACCAGAUAGAUAAAAGAUACUGGAAUGUUCUUUUAUCCAAAGCUUUUGUGCCUGAGGAUGAGCCUGCGCCCGAUUAGGUAGUUGGUGGGGUAAUGGCCCACCAAGCCUGCGAUCGGUACGGGCAGUGGGAGCUGUAGCCCGGAGUUGGGGACUGAGACAAGGCCCCAGGCCCUACGGGGCGCAGCAGGCGCGAAACCUCUGCAAUGCGGGAAACCGUGACAGGGGGAUUCCAAGUGCUCAUGCAUUGCAUGGGCUGUUCUUUGGUCUAAGUAACCAGAGGAGUAAGGGCUGGGCAAGACCGGUGCCAGCCGCCGCGGUAAUACCGGCAGCUCGAGUGGUAGCCGCGAUUAUUGGGCCUAAAACGUUCGUAGCCGGAUAAGUAAGUCUUUGGUUAAAUCCUACGACUUAACCGUGGGAAAUCUAGAGAUACUGCUUGUCUUGAGACCGGGAGAGGUUGGAGGUACUCCCAGGGUAGGGGUGAAAUCCUGUAAUCCUGGGGGGACCACCUGUGGCGAAGGCGUCCAACUGGAACGGCUCUGACGGUGAGGGACGAAACCUAGGGGAGCGAGCCGGAUUAGAUACCCGGGUAGUCCUAGCCGUAAACGAUACUCGCUAGGUGUCGGCCACGGUGCGACCGUUGUCGGUGCCGUAGGGAAGCCGUGAAGCGAGCCACCUGGGAAGUACGGCCGCAAGGCUGAAACUUAAAGGAAUUGGCGGGGGAGCACCACAACGGGUGGAGCUUGCGGUUUAAUUGGAUUCAACGCCGGAAAUCUUACCGGGACCGACAGCAAUAUGAAGGCCAGGCUGAAGACUUUGCCGGAUUAGCUGAGAGGUGGUGCAUGGCCGUCGUCAGUUCGUACUGUGAAGCAUCCUGUUAAGUCAGGCAACGAGCGAGACCCACGCCCACAGUUGCCAGCGUACUCUCUGGAGUGACGGGUACACUGUGGGGACCGCCGCUGCUAAAGCGGAGGAAGGAAUGGGCAACGGUAGGUCAGUAUGCCCCGAAUAUCCCGGGCUACACGCGAGCUACAAUGGUUGGUACAAUGGGUAUCUACCCCGAAAGGGGACGGGAAUCUCCUAAAACCAAUCUUAGUUCGGAUUGAGGGCUGCAACUCGCCCUCAUGAAGCUGGAAUCCGUAGUAAUCGCGUUUCAACAGAACGCGGUGAAUACGUCCCUGCUCCU
rnacentral:rRNA from 1 species